CAGAAGCUAACACAACAUUGUAAAGCAGUUGUUUGUUGUUGUUUAAUUGCUCGGUUGUAUCCAACUCGUUUGAGACCCCAUGGACUGUAGCCCACCAGGCUCCUCUGUCCAUGGGAUUUUCCAGGCAAGAAUACUGGAGUGGGUUGCUGUUUCCUUCUGCAGGGGAUCUUCCUGACCCAGGGAUCGAACCCACAGCUCCUGCAUUGGCAGCUGGAUUCUUUACUACUGAGUGACCAGGGAAGCCCAAAGCAAUUAUACUUCCCAAUCAAAAAAAAAAAGAAGGGCAGAAAGUAAGAGGGGGUCAAGGAUCAAAGGUCUCUAAUGAGUAGACAGGAGAAAGGAGACUCACUGCAGACAGAAAAACCUGUGAGGAAGAAAGGCAGAACUGGGGAUUUUUAUCAGUCGUCCUAUAGUAAGUAGACUUCAGCAUCUCAGCCCUUUCCUUCAUUAUCUAUUUGGCUUCAGCGAGUCUGAGUUUCAGCAUGCUGGUCUUCCCCUGCAGCACCCGGCCUCUCUAGUUGUGGACUCAGUAAUUGUGACAUGCAGGCUUAGUUUCCCCACAGCAUGUGGGAUCUUAGUUCCCAGACCAGGGAUCAGACCCGUGUCACCUGCAUUACCCAGCAGAUUCUUAACCACCGGGGAAAUUGUUAAGCCCUUUCUUAGAUCCUAUCGAGAAACACCAAAAUGACAUUUAGAUUUUCAGUAAAACGAAAGACUUCCAUUCAGAAAAAAGUACCAUUCUCAUUUUCCACUGCAGGCAAAGGUACACAGGUAAGGGGCACAUUUCUGAAAUCAGAUCUCCUAUAACCUGCCUGCCCAACCUCAGCUUCUGGGACCAAGAUGCCUGUCCCACCCACUUUUGCAGGUGGAACCAGUCAUUCAUUCUUGAGGGUGACCAUCACCCUGAAGUAACUCGGAGUGGCCUUGACACCGUCCUGAGCAUGGAAGACGCUUCUAUGACUUCUCACAGGAGAUACAAUACCUUUGGGUCCGUAAAGAGAGAGAAGGUUUCAAGGUGCGCUGACCUCGUCUUAAAUCUGUACUGAGAUCUAUGGAUGUCCUGUGAGCAGGUUUGAAUCAGAAGAAAGAGGACAUGGGUCUAGAGGCCCUAAAGCCUUGAGAAAAGAAGGGAAUGGGGUUCAGGAGAGAGGGGGAAACGACUCAUAAGGUAAAGUAUAUGAACUUCACGUCCCAUUGAGAAAAAUGACAGCCUCUGUUUAGUCCUGUCCCGUGUAUUCAUUUGCACUUUUCCCUUCAUUGCUAUUGUUUUAAGUCCAUGAUGAAAUGGUCACUGGAAGGAGAACUGCCCAAAACCAGGAGACAUUUGAUUUCCGGUUGCAGCCUCGAGGUUUUGGUUGACACAUGCUGCUUGAGCAGACCUCUCUUCGUCAGGAAAACAUCUGAUUCCUCCAGGGACUAAAAUGGACCCAACCCCCUGAGAUUAGUGGACAAAAACACAGGCUCCAGGUUCCUUGGCUUGAGUAGUUGGAGCAUACAGACUUAGUUGCUCCGAGGCCUGUGUGAUCUCCCCAGACAGGGAUCGAACCUGUGUUCCCUGCAUUGGCAGUACUGUGAGCCUUUUGAAAGCACCCAUCAUGGAAUGUUGGGUUAAAACACGAGCAGCCUUUGGGAGCCUAAAGUCUUAGCAGCUGCCAGUGAAAUUAUUAAUAUCCAAAGGAUUUAGAUAUUAAUACUUCUGUGUGCAAGUGGGUGCAGUCCUGGGCACUGUGACCAGCACAUGAAACUAAUGAAUUCCGGAGAGAUCUAGAUCUGAGCAAACACGAUAGGAGUCAACGGACUUCGGCGCCAAAGAACAAAACUGAGACCUUCUUGUGGGCAGGGGAAAAAAAAAAUGGUUUUUAUGUGUAUUGCACAACCCACAACAAAGGAAAUUAAAUCACAAACUAGGAAGGAAGCUACUGACAAGUCCACUGCCCGUCCACAACUCUUCAUUUCUCCUUGUUCCCUUUCAACUCACAUGCAUGAGUAAUCGUCCAUAGACAUAAG